UACGUAGGGUGCGAGCGUUGUCCGGAAUUAUUGGGCGUAAAGAGCUCGUAGGCGGUCUGUCGCGUCGAUCGUGAAAACUUGGGGCUUAACCCUGAGCUUGCGGUCGAUACGGGCAUGACUGGAGUUCGGCAGGGGAGACUGGAAUUCCUGGUGUAGCGGUGAAAUGCGCAGAUAUCAGGAGGAACACCGGUGGCGAAGGCGGCUUUUUGGUCUGUAACUGACGCUGAGGCGCGAAAGCGUGGGGAGCAAACAGG
rnacentral:rRNA from 1 species